AAGUAUUUAGUUUCUCACUGACCUUGGGUCCAUCACUUCCAGGUGUUCCGGGAAGUCCACGAGGUCCUUGAAGACCCUGAGGACCAGCACCACCUCUCUCACCAGGGAAACCACGUUCACCCUGUUAGGGAACAGAAAAGCAAUAUGGCAACUCACUCUGGGUCCAACAGCACCGGGAGCUCCACCCUCUCCUGGAACACCCUGCAGAGAGAAACGGAAAACAGGGAUGCCAUCAGUUCCGGGGUUACCCUGUUCCACGGGGAUGAACGAGAAAUGUUACAAGAAGAUCUCGAGGACAGUCGGAGUUACUGCUGCAGUUGACAGUAGCCACGAAC